rnacentral:rRNA from 1 species
UUGCCCUAGUAACGGCGAGUGAAGCGGCAACAGCUCAAAUUUGAAAUCUGGCUUCGGCCCGAGUUGUAAUUUGUAGAGGAAGCUUUUGGUGAGGCACCUUCUGAGUCCCCUGGAACGGGGCGCCAUAGAGGGUGAGAGCCCCGUAUAGUCGGAUGCCGAUCCAAUGUAAAGCUCCUUCGACGAGUCGAGUAGUUUGGGAAUGCUGCUCAAAAUGGGAGGUAAAUUUCUUCUAAAGCUAAAUACCGGCCAGAGACCGAUAGCGCACAAGUAGAGUGAUCGAAAGAUGAAAAGCACUUUGAAAAGAGGGUUAAAUAGCACGUGAAAUUGUUGAAAGGGAAGCGUUUGUGACCAGACUUGCGCCGUUCCGAUCAUCCGGUGUUCUCACCGGUGCACUCGGGGCGGCUCAGGCCAGCAUCGGUUUUGGCGGGGGGAUAAAGGUCCGGGGAACGUAGCUCCUCCGGGAGUGUUAUAGCCCCGGGCGUAAUGCCCUCGCCGGGACCGAGGUUCGCGCAUCUGCAAGGAUGCUGGCGUAAUGGUCAUCAACGACCCGUCUUGAAACACGGACCAAGGAGUCAAGGUUUUGCGCGAGUGUUUGGGUGUAAAACCCGCACGCGUAAUGAAAGUGAACGUAGGUGAGAGCUUCGGCGCAUCAUCGACCGAUCCUGAUGUAUUCGGAUGGAUUUGAGUAAGAGCGUUAAGCCUUGGACCCGAAAGAUGGUGAACUAUGCUUGGAUAGGGUGAAGCCAGAGGAAACUCUGGUGGAGGCUCGCAGCGGUUCUGACGUGCAAAUCGAUCGUCAAAUCUGAGCAUGGGGGCGAAAGACUAAUCGA